AUAAUGAUACUUCCGUAGCCGAAAGCGCGGAUGCCGGAGUACCCGGCGGUUGGUGAGAGGCCAAUGA
rnacentral:ncRNA from 1 species